rnacentral:tRNA from 1 species
AGUAAAAUGACUGAGAUUAAGGUGACAGAUUGUAAAUUUGUUAAGGAGAUUAUUUCUCUUUUAC